GGGGAUAACACUUGGAAACAGGUGCUAAUACCGUAUAACACUAUUUUCCGCAUGGAAGAAAGUUGAAAGGCGCUUUGCGCCACUGAUGGAUGGACCCGCGGUGCAUUAGCUAGUUGGUGAGGUAACGGCUCACCAAGGCCACGAUGCAUAGCCGACCUGAGAGGGUGAUCGGCCACACUGGGACUGAGACACGGCCCAGACUCCUACGGGAGGCAGCAGUAGGGAAUCUUCGGCAAUGGACGAAAGUCUGACCGAGCAACGCCGCGUGAGUGAAGAAGGUUUUCGGAUCGUAAAACUCUGUUGUUAGAGAAGAACAAGGAUGAGAGUAAAACGUUCAUCCCUUGACGGUAUCUAACCAGAAAGCCACGGCUAACUACGUGCCAGCAGCCGCGGUAAUACGUAGGUGGCAAGCGUUGUCCGGAUUUAUUGGGCGUAAAGCGAGCGCAGGCGGUUUCUUAAGUCUGAUGUGAAAGCCCCCGGCUCAACCGGGGAGGGUCAUUGGAAACUGGGAGACUUGAGUGCAGAAGAGGAGAGUGGAAUUCCAUGUGUAGCGGUGAAAUGCGUAGAUAUAUGGAGGAACACCAGUGGCGAAGGCGGCUCUCUGGUCUGUAACUGACGCUGAGGCUCGAAAGCGUGGGGAGCGAACAGGAUUAGAUACCCU
rnacentral:rRNA from 1 species